rnacentral:rRNA from 1 species
GAUGAACGCUAGCGGCGUGCUUAACACAUGCAAGUCGAGCGAUGAAGCUCCUUCGGGAGUGGAUUAGCGGCGGACGGGUGAGUAACACGUGGGUAACCUGCCUCAUAGAGGGGAAUAGCCUUCCGAAAGGAAGAUUAAUACCGCAUAAGAUUGUAGUACCGCAUGGUAUAGCAAUUAAAGGAGCAAACGGCUAUGAGAUGAACCCUCGUCGCCUUAGCCAGUUGGGAAGGUAACGGCUCACCAAGGCGACGAUGCGUAGCCGACCUGAGGGGGGGAUCGGCCACAUUGGGAGUGAGACACGGCCCAGACUCGUACGGGAGGCAGCAGUGGGGAAUAUUGCACAAUGGGGGAAACCCUGAUGCAGCAACGCCGCGUGAGUGAUGACGGUCUUCGGAUUGUAAAGCUCUGUCUUCAGGGACGAUAAUGACGGUACCUGAGGAGGAAGCCACGGCUAACUACGUGCCAGCCGCCGCUGUAAUAC